rnacentral:misc_RNA from 1 species
UCUGGGAUUCGUUGAUGGAGGUGUAAAUCCGAGGACUUCAAUAGUGAUUGGAGGGCACCAAUUGGAGGACAAUCUUCUGCAGUUUGAUCUUGCCACUUCAAGGCUUGGGUUUAGCUCUUCUCUGUUGUCUAGACAAACAACUUGUGCAAACUUCGACUUCACCUCUAAAGCUUAAGAGGAUUUUCGAAAGCCUCAUCCGACUCUUGCAUUAUUAUUUGUUUUGUUUGAUAUUUUACUGUUUAAUUUUGGGGCUGUUACUCAAUUUUUAUUAAAAAGAAAUAAUAAAAAUA